rnacentral:rRNA from 1 species
UCUGACGGAGCACGCCGCGUGAGUGAUGAAGGCUUUCGGGUCGUAAAACUCUGUUGUUAGGGAAGAACAAGUGCUAGUUGAAUAAGCUGGCACCUUGACGGUACCUAACCAGAAAGCCACGGCUAACUACGUGCCAGCAGCCGCGGUAAUACGUAGGUGGCAAGCGUUAUCCGGAAUUAUUGGGCGUAAAGCGCGCGCAGGUGGUUUCUUAAGUCUGAUGUGAAAGCCCACGGCUCAACCGUGGAGGGUCAUUGGAAACUGGGAGACUUGAGUGCAGAAGAGGAAAGUGGAAUUCCAUGUGUAGCGGUGAAAUGCGUAGAGAUAUGGAGGAACACCAGUGGCGAAGGCGACUUUCUGGUCUGUAACUGACACUGAGGCGCGAAAGCGUGGGGAGCAAACAGGAUUAGAUACCCUGGUAGUCCACGCCGUAAACGAUGAGUGCUAAGUGUUAGAGGGUUUCCGCCCUUUAGUGCUGAAGUUAACGCAUUAAGCACUCCGCCUGGGGAGUACGGCCGCAAGGCUGAAACUCAGAGGAAAUUGACGGA